rnacentral:tRNA from 1 species
GGACGUGGCUCAGUUGGUAGAGCAUCACCUUGCCAAGGUGAGGGUCGCGGGUUCGAACCCCGUCGUCCG